GAGGGUAUAGUUCAGUGGCAGAGUGCGUGCUUAGCAUGCAUGAGGUCCUGGGUUCAAACCCCAGCACCUCCA
rnacentral:tRNA from 1 species